rnacentral:rRNA from 1 species
GGACUGGGCGCGUGCUUACACAUGCAAGUCGAACGAUGAUCUCCCGCUUGCGGGAGUGAUUAGUGGCGAACGGGUGAGUAAUACGUGAGUAACCUGCCCUUGACUCUGGGAUAAGCCUGGGAAACCGGGUCUAAUACUGGAUACGACUCCUCAUCGCAUGGUGGGGGGUGGAAAGGGUUUGACUGGUUUUGGAUGGGCUCACGGCCUAUCAGCUUGUUGGUGGGGUAAUGGCUCACCAAGGCGACGACGGGUAGCCGGCCUGAGAGGGUGACCGGCCACACUGGGACUGAGACACGGCCCAGACUCCUACGGGAGGCAGCAGUGGGGAAUAUUGCACAAUGGGCGCAAGCCUGAUGCAGCGACGCCGCGUGAGGGAUGACGGCCUUCGGGUUGUAAACCUCUUUCAGCAGGGAAGAAGCCACAAGUGACGGUACCUGCAGAAGAAGCGCCGGCUAACUACGUGCCAGCAGCCGCGGUAAUACGUAGGGCGCAAGCGUUGUCCGGAAUUAUUGGGCGUAAAGAGCUCGUAGGCGGUUUGUCGCGUCUGCUGUGAAAGCCCGGGGCUCAACCCCGGGUCUGCAGUGGGUACGGGCAGACUAGAGU